rnacentral:rRNA from 1 species
AGCGAACGCUGGCGGCAGGCUUAACACAUGCAAGUCGAACGGCAGCACAGUAAGAGCUUGCUCUUAUGGGUGGCGAGUGGCAGACGGGUGAGGAAUAUAUCGGAAUCUACUCUUUCGUGGGGGAUAACGUAGGGAAACUUACGCUAAUACAGCAUACGACCUACGGGUGAAAGCAGGGGAUCUUCGGACCUUGCGCGAUUGAAUGAGCCGAUGUCGGAUUGGCUAGUUGGCGGGGUAAAGGCCCACCAAGGCGAGGAUCCGUAGCUGGUCUGUGAGGAUGAUCGGCCGCACUGGAACGUGGACACGCACCAGGCUCCUGCGGUAGGGAGCAGUGGGGAAUGGUGGGCAGUGGGGGCGAGCCUUGUACAGCCGGAGCGCGUGGGUGGAGAAGACGUUGGGGUUGUAAAGCCCGUUUGUUGGGAAAGAAACGCAGCAGGUUAUUACGCAGCUUUUGUGACGGUACCCAAAGAAUAAGCACCGGCUAACUUCGUG